AUACGGAGGGUGCAAGCGUUAUCCGGAUUUACUGGGUUUAAAGGGUGCGUAGGUGGGCAGGUAAGUCAGCGGUGAAAUCUCCGAGCUUAACUCGGAAACUGCCAUUGAUACUAUCUGUCUUGAAUAUCCUGGAGGUGAGCGGAAUAUGUCAUGUAGCGGUGAAAUGCUUAGAUAUGACAUAGAACACCAAUUGCGAAGGCAGCUCACUACGGGGUUAUUGACACUGAGGCACGAAAGCGUGGGGAUCAAACAGGAUUAGAUACCCUGGUAGUCCACGCCCUAAACGAUGGAUACUCGACAUACGCGAUAUACUGUGUGUGUCUGAGCGAAAGCAUUAAGUAUCCCACCUGGGAAGUACGAUCGCAAGAUUGAA
rnacentral:rRNA from 1 species